rnacentral:lncRNA from 1 species
UGGGCCAUCCAAUGAUCAUCCAACUAAUGGAUCCAUUAUCAUCCAACUUAAUGGGAGGCUAUGAUCAAGUCAUCCCCAUAAAUAGCUUAUUUUAUGAAUCUAAUAAUUUAAAAAAAUUAGUUGACAUAUAAAAGAGAAGAGAUUAAACUUAACCAGUUAAUCAUAAUUCUCCUACUGACUUCAUCAAGUCAGAUCAAAGAAGACUAGAUUCAAGCUGGUCAUGGCACCUAAAUCAUUCA